GAACCCGGCGCACUGCUGGUGGGAACGUAAAAUGGCACAGCCACUGUGGAAGACAGUCUGGAGGUUCCUCGAAACAUCACACGUAAAACUAGCCUGUGAUCCGGGAUCCCACUCGUCGGCAUCAACUCAAAUGAACUGAAAGCAGGGACACAAAGAGACACUUGUGCACCCAGGUUCACAGCAGCAUUACUCACAACGGGCAAAAGGUGGAAACGACCCAAGGGUCCGUCGUCGGAUGAUGGGUUUUCCUGACUUGUUCUUGCUGAUUUGCAGUUCCGUGCACAGUGUGGAGAUAAAUCCCUUGUCUUCGACUUUGAAGAUGUUGCCUCCAGUAAAGGUGUGCUCUCCCCCGCUGUCCUACUCAGCCUGGAGCUGCUUCCUCUUUCCCGAACCCACUCAUGCUGCGAAUGAGAUUUUUAGUCCUGAAAGUGGAAUGCUGUCCAGGGCAAAAAGGUAACUUCUACUUGUGGCUCUGUAUGUUUCACGGGGAGUCACAGGGUCACUGUGAGUGAGGUACCAGCAGCAAAGCAGGAUGAUGGCCUGAGCUGGGCAGGGUCCACUUUCUACUCAAAAAGGAGAGGCUCUCCACAUCCUGACACACGUUGUUGGGGCCCCUUGCCUAACAGAGAUCCCUCCCCACCAUGGGAGGUCUUAAGACACCUUCCCAACCAAUUGAAAGCGGGGCUAGAAAAUACAACCAUCUCGGUGGGUGCAAGCUGCUUCCCAGCAGUGGAGGGCCCCUCACCCUUUCUUAGAAAAUCUUUCUGCCACAUUUCAAAAAUAAACGUUGCCAAAUCCUCAAGCUUUCCCAAUCUAGUGAAACUACCUCCUUGAUCCAACCUACAAAGAAC
rnacentral:lncRNA from 1 species